CAUUUACCAUAUGUUACAGUACACAUCUCACAUUCUGUAUUAAAACAUCACAAAAAUAUUAUUAUUAUUAGCAUUGUUAGUAUUAUUACUACAAACACAUUUAUAUUGUUACUUAUCAAUGUUAUAUACAUACAUGUCACUGCUUACGCUUCACAAAACUAUUUACAUACACCAAAACAUCUCAAAAUGAAAUGCUAUCAUGGAUCACUUACAAUUACAAUUUAUGUUUCAAAAACUAGCUCAGCUCAGUUCAAUGUAAGUGUGUGUCUGUGUGUGAGUGAGUGCGUGUGUUGUGUUUGAUUUCAGAUUUUUAGAUAGCGAGAUGACUGAUACUGCAAGGAGUCAACAAGAGAAGUGUAUGCUGGAGUGUAUCCACUUAUAUUAACUCUUAUGGAGUCAUUAAAUGUUUAUCCGUCAGCCUCGUUCUUAGCUUUGAUUUCAGGAUAUUCAUGUCAGAAAAAGCUGACUCACAGAGAGGAUCAACACAGAAAAGUUCAGCUAUCUGUCCUGAAAUCUCACUUAUGUCCACAUCCAUGAAAGGUUGCUCAUGAAGCGUCCUCUCAAUACUCUAUGCAAUUCGGUGCAGAGGGAUAGGGAUCCCAGGCGGUUUCGAGAAAUAUAUAAUGUAAUCGAUACGUAUCAUUGGAUACUUCAUAGAUGGGGGAGCUUGGCUUGGAUUGGGAGAAUGGACGGACGAAUGUGUAUAGGAAAGGAUGGAUGGAUACCGAGAAAAAAAUAUAUUAUAAUAGUGUUUUGUGUAUAUAUGUUUUUCUACUUUACCCUAAUUGUUGGUUUUUAAAAGGAUAGUUUUUAUUCUUAUGCUUACAUAGUCUAUCUACGGUCAACCGGAAAUUCUUUGAGGAAGGGAUGAGCGGUCGCUCAUCAACUCUCCCUCCCCUCCUUUUCUUUUAUCUUCUUCGUGGUUCUUACGUUGGAGAAAAGGGGGGAUAUAAAAUUGUGUCUAUAGCGUUUAUAUUAAUGUGCAUUAGAUGUUUUUGGGAUAAAUGGUAAUAAUAAUUUUUUUUAAAUAA
rnacentral:lncRNA from 1 species